AGAUCAGCCCUGGGGUUCAGAGGGAUCCUGACGGCUACUCCUCAAGAUCCUCUCUGUUGUGAUUCAUCCCCCCCAGGCCCUACAGUUUCUCCUUCCUGACUCUUACAUUUCUUUGGAUGGCAUCACUAUUGCUGGAGUGCAGUGGUGUGAUCUCAGCUCACUGCAACCCCUGCCUCCUGGAUUCAAGCAAUUCUCCUGCCUCAGCCUCCCAAGUAGCUGGGAUUGCAGUUAGUUGCCAAGCACUGUGGAUUCUACCCCUCAGGGUCCAGACACCCAUUUUCCUUCCCACUGUUCCCUCCCCAUGGAGAAGCCUGUGGCUGACUGACAGCUCAACUUGGAGAAGGUGUUACCUGGGCCAGGUGGGGAAGGUAGGGUUGUUUGCAGAGCAAAGAAGUGAAGGAAGUAUUAACCCUUUGCAUGGCCUCCUGAGAAUCUGACAAGACGUAAAUAGCCAAGAAUAUCUGUGGAACUUAAUCAGUGAGUUACAAUAUUUAUCACUGCAAGUGUGUUGUUCAUUGACACUAUAAAGCCAUAUGGAAUUAAGCAGCCUUGAAACACAAAAUGGAGAAAGGCUAAGAGCUGAGAAUUGUUGCCUUCAGGGAAAUAUAAUCAAUGUCAAGCAAACAACCACCCCAAAAUGGUUAGCUUUAUCAGCAUUCAGGCCUACAGUGAAAGCAAAUGUUCCAGAUCUGAGUUUCAAUUUUUAAAGAAUAAACAUAUGCAAAUGACCA
rnacentral:antisense_RNA from 1 species